UAUGGGAGGGACUGGCGAGCUGGUGAGAAGCUGUCAGUGCUGAUAAAGCAAAGGGAGGGGUCAGCUGCAGUACGAGGAAACUGUCUUUGUCUCAACCCAUGCAUUUUUCUUCCUUUUGCCCUUUGGAGUCUCUCCCACAUCCCACUUUGGGGGCAGUAAGUGAGCAUCUAGGUGGGUGUUUAGCUGUUGGCCAGGGUCAACCCACCACCUAUAGGAAAGCCCUAAGCUCCCUCCUCCUGCCUCCCAGCUACCAGGCAGGUGAGAAACAAGGAGAUGUGGUUGCUUUUGAGUUAGACUUCCUGCAUAUGAAAGAUCUACUACCUGAACAUCCACAGAUAAGAAUCAUAUGGUUGUGUAUGUAUGAGUUGAUUUUCUGCCUCACAUUAAGUGCAUUCUUUCUUAACAUUUCCAGAUUCCUAGACUGUAUCAGACUUAAAUUCAGAUACAAAAAAACUACUGAACUGGGUUGGGCACAGUGCAGGUAACAUGAUACCUGUUCUAAAGUCUGAUAAAAUUGCAUGCUUUCUUUUGUGUGUAGCCUCUUUUCCUUUAUAUCACUUAAAUAUUGAUACCACGUGUCAUCAUUAUCCCUCCCAGAACACAUUCAAGGGAGUGGGGGGGGAAGGCAGACGUCAAAUUGACCUUGAUUUGACUUUGAUGGAAUGAAGACAAAGAUAUGAACUGAACUGAGUGACAUUAAAAAUGAACUUAUUUUUGUCUGUCAAUAAUUCAGAUUUCAUUAAGGCUAAAUCAGGUCACUGAAAUGUUAGGAAAAGCCAUCUAGUGUCAAAAAAAGGUUUAAGAAGAACUUAAUGCCUAAAAGCAGUCUAAUGACUAUACCAAUUCUGGAUACACUGAAAAUCAAGGACUAAAUCUGCUCAGUUACUGAUGUAGCAGUAGCGCAGAGACUAUAGCUUGUAUUGGUCAGGCAGCAGGGCACAUAAUGUACUUACACAGAGGAAGGAGCUAACGAAGAAAUUCUGCACAUCUAUAUGAGAAACAAUAUUGAAAAUAAGGAUAAAAGAUGGAGGAAAGCCACAGAACUUGAGGAAUUUUAUUUCCCAGGUCAAACUGUUCAUAUAAGAAGCAGAGCUGUGGCCACUGCAGAGCUUUCAGCAGGUCAAAUCCCAUAUUUCCUACAUACAGAAGCUAUAUGGACUUAAUUCAAGCAAUUUUAACUGUAUUAUCUCACAUUUUUUGUGUGGUCUCUCUUAUAUUGACGUAAAACUAUUUUUAUCUGUCAGAUUUAUGACAAUACGUUUAGACCAUAAGCAUGAAUUAAGCUUGCAAAUAGUUGCUUCAUUCAAAGUUGUUACUACUCCCCAGCCAGCUGUUCACCAAUGACCUUUUGCAAAAAGCCACUUCCACCCACAGUUCUGCCAGCCUGUGCUCAAAUGGGUCCCUUGGUGGCAGUGAGGCUGGUGGGUGACCUCAGUGAAGUGUCCAAAGGGCACCUACAAAAUAGGUAUGGGUACAGUAACCUGCUGCUGGAUGGUGACAAAUAGUGAGACAUUGUAUCUUCAUCUGUUCCAGGAAUGCUGGGACGGAAACUGCAGUCUGCUGCCCUGUUGAUGGCUAAACCUGUAUAAACAGGUCUGAACCAUGCUAAAACUUCGAUUGCACACAGCCUUGUGUACUGUAUUGUUCUUGCUAUAUGGAUUUGAAAAUCCUGCUAACCUGGAAACCCCCUUGUACA